rnacentral:lncRNA from 1 species
GGGAGGGUUGGCAUACCACUAAACUAGUUCAACUCCUGUGCCUGUCCCAAGUCAGGAAUUGUGGUCAUAGGUUUGUCUUCGUUGUUUUGAGUUGAAUGUUUUGUUACAUGUACAGCAGGUAAGAGCAGGUAAAUUUUAGGCAUACACGUUUAUUUAUUUGAGACGAUUUAGAGCUUUUCACAAGGAUUGGAAUUCCAACCUUGUUUCCCGCUAACAUGUUUAACCCCGCCACAUUAUUUAUUUAUGUGCCUGUCCCAAGUCAGGAGCCUGUAAUUCAGUGGUUGUCGUUUGUUUAUGUGUUACAUAUUUGUUUUUUCGUUCAUUUUUUUACAUAAAUAAGGCCGUUAGUUUUCUCGCUUGAAUUGUUUUACAUUGUCUUAUCGGGGCCUUUUAUAGCUGACUAUAUGCGGUAUGGGCUUUGCUCAUUGUUGAAGACCGUACGGUGACCUAUAAUUGUUAAUGUUUGUGUCAUUUUGGUCUUUUGUGGAUAGUUGUCUCAUUGGCAAUCAUACCUCAUCUUCUUUUUUAUAUUGUUGAAGGUCUUGUGGAGACUUUAAGAUUUGAUUUUUUUUUCUC